rnacentral:rRNA from 1 species
UGAUGGGAAUUUAAACCUCUUCCAGAGUAUCAAUUGGAGGGCAAGUCUGGUGCCAGCAGCCGCGGUAAUUCCAGCUCCAAUAGCGUAUAUUAAAAUUGUUGCAGUUAAAAAGCUCGUAGUUGAAUUUCUGCUGCAUUUCAUUUCUCUUUCUGAGUUUGUUUUUGCGGCUUAUUUCGGUUUGAUUUUUUCUUUCCGGAUGAUUACUUUGAGAAAAUUAGAGUGCUCAAAGCAGGCUUUUGCCUUGAAUAGUUUAGCAUGGAAUAAUAAAGUAGGACUUUGGUUCUAUUUUGUUGGUUUUAGGUACCAAAGUAAUGGUUAAUAGGAACAGUUGGGGGCAUUCGUAUUUAACUGUCAGAGGUGAAAUUCUUAGAUUUGUUAAAGACGAACUACUGCGAAAGCAUUUGCCAAGGAUGUUUUCAUUAAUCAAGAACGAAAGUUAGGGGAUCGAAGACGAUCAGAUACCGUCGUAGUCCUAACCAUAAACUAUGCCGACUAGAGAUUGGA